AUUGAACGCUGGCGGCAUGCCUUACACAUGCAAGUCGAACGGUAACAGGUCUUCGGAUGCUGACGAGUGGCGAACGGGUGAGUAAUACAUCGGAACGUGCCUAGUAGUGGGGGAUAACUAAUCGAAAUAGUGGCUAAUACUGCACGAGAUCUACGGAUGAAAGCAGGGGAGCGUAAGACCUUUUGCUACGAGAGCGGCCGAUGGCAGAUUAGGAAGUUGGUGGGAUAAAAGCUUACCAAGCCGACGAUCUGUCGCGGGUCUGAGGGGACGAUCAGCGACACUGGGACUGAGACACGGCCCAGACUCCUACGGGAGGAAGAAGUGGGGAAUUUUGGACAAUGGGCGAAAGCCUGAUCCAGCAAUGCCGCGUGCAGGAUGAAGGCCUUCGGGUUGUAAACUGCUUUUGUACGGAACGAAAAGCCCUGGGUUAAUACCCUGGGGUCAUGACGGUACCGUAAGAAUAAGCACCGGCUAACUACGUGCCAGCAGCCGCCGUAA
rnacentral:rRNA from 1 species